rnacentral:rRNA from 1 species
UCUGACCUCUGACCUCAAAUCAGGUAGGACUACCCGCUGAACUUAAGCAUAU